CUGCUUCUGCUUCUGAUUCUGCUUCUGCUUUUGAUGAUAAUAAGUAUCCCAUAUAUUUUCGAGCUUCCGUUAACAACCUUUAUACGUGUGUUGAGUAUGUUGAAAUUGUCCGUGAUGCUCACCUGCACACUCUCGAUUAUAAUCUUCCGAAGAAGAAGGAGCCCGUAGAUAUGUUUCGAGAUGGCCCUGUGUUGUACGGCCCAGAUUGCACCACCUGCUGUGAUGAUGAAACAAAGAAUAUUCUCAACGAAUCUACCGAUUUAGCUCUUCAAGUCCGCAACAAUACCCAUAUUAAAAAAUACAAUUUGCCGGUUCUGGUGAGUGCAACUGGACAUAUAUCCACAGACUCUAACUCUAAGGUGGAUUUGAUGUUUACCGCCGAGCCUGAUCCUUUGCUGGAAGACAGUGAUGCGAAACCGAGAACUUUUCGAGCUCGGGUUUUCUUCCUACACAAGUAUGUAGAGUUUGUUGGUCUCCUCCCUCCUCCUACUAACCUUACCUGCUAAUAAUAGGUAAUCGAUUUUUUUCAUUUUUCUUUUCUUAACCAAAGUUUUGUACUCUUCAUAUACCUAUGUACAUUUCAAUGAAUAGAGAAUCCUUAACUUCUUCCAAGACCGUCAUCGAGAAAUCUAUUUUGUCUGAAACUGAUGAUUUGAUUGCUCGGAUAAUCUUUUGUUUGGUUUGAUUUUAUUCUGUCUUAGAAUGUUCCUUUGUCCGUUGCCCCGUUUUU